rnacentral:snRNA from 1 species
CGCUGUCAGCACCGUACCUUCAAAAAUCAAACGAUACAGAGAAGAUUAGUAUGAUGACAUUCGCUCAAGAAUGACAAGUAGAAAUCGAGAAAUGGUUCAGCAUUUU